UGGAACUAGGCUACUCUCAUUUGAGGAGAGGAACCAGAAUAAUCUUUGUGUGUUGCUAGCAUUUACUUAUGAACUUAUUCAUUCUGCUGCUACAUCUCUCUUUGAUAUUAGACUUUGAAUCUUGUUCGGAAUCUGAACUUGCUGGUCCAUAAGUGAAAUCAGUUUUUGGGCAUACAUAAUUCAAUCUCCUCUUCUUGUGUAUUUCUCUCACCUUCACGACCUACAACCUUCUGCCGUUAUUGCACAAACCACC
rnacentral:lncRNA from 1 species